UAUUUCUUUCCAUUGUUUCCUUUGUAUCACUGAGUGCUCUAAUGAUGAAACUGCUUUGUUUUUUCUAUUUCUCUCUGUCAAAAAUUGAGCAUGUUUCCAUGGCAACCACACGGCCGUUAGCCAGCUGUCCUAAGUGAGAUAACGUAUCAGGCAGAAUUGAGAGCGAGUUCUAUAAAUUCCCCCUUGGAUUAAGAAAAGCAGUUGUGUGCGUUGUGUGGAGGUGUGUGUUUACCUGCGUCACACCCAGUGGGCCUCAUUCAGCACGACUUCUUCACAUUGGCAGAUUUGAUCGGAUUACAGGACUCAGGACUCAGGAAACUUCGCUCUGAAAUUUUGCAUUUAACCGUCGACGGCACCAGCAGCCGCCUCUCACUGCCUGCCAGGGAGCACACGUCUCGUACGGCCAACCAGCGAGUCCUUCUGCCGCUGUGAUCCGUGUACAGAGGGCAUCAUCUACCACACGCGUGCUCUUCGCCGUCAAGGUACUGAAGCACACGCAUACAAGAAUGCAGAAUUCGACAUUUCAAAAUCGAUUGCUGGCUUCAUCGGGAGAUGAGGGUCCGUGGCCUCAGGGCGGCAGGGAAACUCAUCAAGGUGAGCUCGUAAAGAUAAAUGAGAGUGACAAAAAUUGUGACCUAAAUGCUAAAAGGAACCUGCGAGGCAACGGCCAGCUAAAUGUCACAUCUGCACGGCAGCUCAGCGAGACCACAGGCUGCUGCUGCUGCUGCUGCUGCUCUGCUCUUCCAUAAUAAAGCAACUGUCUGAGUACUGGCAAACAAUAGCGGCUGUCACAAUGUCAGCCGGGUGCGUCUCCGCCAGCUGACAACGGACACCACAGGCAUCGCUUGGAUGGGAGUUUGACCAUGUGUGUUGGGGAGAGAUAGUCAACCUGGACCCUUUCUCGGCUUUCCUCUUUGUCCAUUUCUUUAAAAAGACCACAAAAUCCCUCUUUGUUCAAAGACUUUCAGAAUUAUGUGGAGGGACGUCUCGUCUUUUGUACUUUGUUAUUUCUUGGAUUGGCCGACGUGCUCCUAGUUUUCAACUGCUUGUGCGAGUUGAAAACUAGGAGCACACGGCGAGUUUGGAAAACUUUUACUUUGAGGGAAAAGACUGUUGAUUUUGGCUGCUUUCUGAAACGCUGUUUGUUUUUUCAGGCAUUCGUACAUAACUGGCAUCAUUUCCCACAUAGAUUUUUUUCUGAAUUACAGGGAGGAUAUUGGAUAAAAAUGGUGACCAAAUGUGACAAUUAUUGAGGGAUUAUGCGUCAUCAUUGACAUUUUUUUGUGGUUGUAUUCAUUAUCUGGUGAAUUACUCCCUUUUUAGCACCUAAUCAAGCCGCCACGGAUUAGCUUCAGCUCGUGUAAAAUGUAUUUCAUGCUCCAGCUUCCAUGAAAGUGGCACAACAGACCAGGAAAUGUGCCACUGGCAUGUAAAUAAAUCUGCGUGUGGGCAUAAAAAGUAAUGGUGUCGAGCUUCUAUAGCGUAGAAUACAACUCCACUUCAAAAUCUACAAAAAUAAAAGGAGUGAAAAACAUUUCAGUCCAAACAUUGCAUUCCCGCAGCCGCUUUCUUUCGGUUUCACGUUACACAGAAAAGAUGCACUGUGGCCGACCUUUAACCGGUGAGAGAAUUGAGCGAUCCACCGGCCCUAUUUAUAUGGAGAACAGCUCCUUAUUAAUAUGUUAAUACCUGUCAAUUCUUCCCCGCUUUGCAUUAAAGAGAGCAGUAGCUUGACCUUUGCCGACAACCUGCCAACAGAGUCAAGCCGGCCUAAUUAAAGAAAGUUGUUUUGCGUCAAUUGCCUGUUGAUCCGGGGGAGCACCAAGAGCUCCAAAUAAUUCACUUAUGUGUCAAGUUUUUUAAAGGAAAUGUUCACCAACUUGAAAGAUUUCUCUGCAGUGGGGAAUCACACCGACAGUUGAUACUCAGUUGGUGUUUAUUUCAGGGUUUAACCAGCUUCACUUUGGCCAGCAGGUGGGAAGCAAAACAGACGCUGAAGAGUUCAUGGAAUAAAACUGAAACCUACACCGUUCGUUUAAUCACACACUCACAACCCAACGAGCUAUAUCCUCAGGGGAAAUGUAAAUGGUGAAUGUCUGAUUUACUUACUCCGUUGAUGUCCCAGAAAAUCCUUAUUUAAAGAAACUAAGCCAGUCAACUACGAGAUAAUUGACCAUAAAACAUUUUAUGCUGAAGUAAAGAAAACGGACUGUGGAUCAUUAGUUACAGUAAGGAUUGUUGCUGGUGUGCUACUUCAUGACAAUUCAAACCCAUGAAUGCAGAUGGGAUUUUCAUUUGAGAAACGUCCUGUUUGAACUGUGUGAGGAAUAAAGUUCUGGGAUGGAUACAUGUGAUGGGCAGGAUUUAAGCCACACAAAUCUAAUACAUUCAUCUUUGCUUUCAUUAAUAAAUGAAAGGACGCCAUUAUAUGGGUUUGGUUUAAGAGCUUUAAUUGUCAAUGUACAGAGUCGGUGCAUGGGCUUAGUUAUUUGGCAAAAGGUUAAAACAUUAAAAUUUCACUUGGAUAAAAUAUGAUUUAUAGAAAAAUAGCACAAUUGUUAAAGUUCAUUUUGAAGUUAUGAUAACCAAAUGGUUAGUACCCGGGGUGCUGUGGGAAGGGACCAGCUGGGUGACAAAGAGGUCAAACAGGAAGUUGAUCUGCUUUAUGGGAAUCCUACAGGAAAUUGGACUGUGCCAACUGUGAUGCGUUAGAGCGAACAUUAGGAAAUGUGAUGUUCUGAUUAAGGUGAUUUUGUCUAAUAAAAUUAUUUUUGCAUUGACUAAAGUUCAUCCGUGUCUCUAAAUUUAGUUAAAUAUAUUGUGUUCAUUCCAGGUUUUUAGAUGUUACUGCCGUUAGAAUUUGUAUUGUUUGGUCUCCCCCUUUUUGUUUUCAUGGUGCUGCCCACCUCUUAUGAAUUCUGUGUAUUUUUUGUCUUAAAGUUAGUUAUGGUCCCCUAUGAAAUGAUGUACUCUGGUGGUUGAAUUCGGGCCGCUGCUGUUGUGAGAGCCUAAAGCACCAUUAUGUCCUUUUUUUGGUGUACUGGAUUUUUCCCAUAAGGUAACCUGAAUGGAAGAUGGUGUUUGCAUCUUUUUUUAUCCUCUCUAAUGAGGCUUGUUCACGUUUCAUCUUGCGUAAGCAAGAUUUAAUAAACUCCCAAUAAAAGAC
ensembl:lncRNA